rnacentral:rRNA from 1 species
CACUCCUACGGGAGGCAGCAGUGGGGAAUUUUGGACAAUGGGGGCAACCCUGAUCCAGCAAUGCCGCGUGAGUGAAGAAGGCCUUCGGGUUGUAAAGCUCUUUUGUCAGGGAAGAAACGGUGGUGGCGAAUAACUACUACUAAUGACGGUACCUGAAGAAUAAGCACCGGCUAACUACGUGCCAGCAGCCGCGGUAAUACGUAGGGUGCAAGCGUUAAUCGGAAUUACUGGGCGUAAAGCGUGCGCAGGCGGUUGUGUAAGUCAGAUGUGAAAUCCCCGGGCUCAACCUGGGAAUUGCAUUUGAGACUGCACGGCUAGAGUGUGUCAGAGGGGGGUAGAAUUCCACGUGUAGCAGUGAAAUGCGUAGAUAUGUGGAGGAAUACCGAUGGCGAAGGCAGCCCCCUGGGAUAACACUGACGCUCAUGCACGAAAGCGUGGGGAGCAAACAGGAUUAGAAACCCCUGUAGUCCCA